CCGAAGCAGGCUCUGAGCCAUCAGCACAGAGCCCAAGGCGGGGCUUGAACCCAUGAACUGUGAGACCACGACCUGAGACAAAGUCGGACACUCACCUGACUGAGCCACCCAGGCGCCCCUAAACAGUUACAUUUAUUUACAAUCAUUCUAUUGCCAUAGACUGGAAAACGGGAUCUCUUCAGGUUGGUCUUAGUGCUAGAGAAGUAGCUGGUUGGAUGGAUGGUCAUUGGCUCUGCCGCGCUCGGGAUGUUGCUGCAUUUUAAAAAAUGACUUAUCUCGCGGCGCUGAGGGCGGUGCUUAUGGUCGAGUCCUGCGACGCUGCUGGGAAACACUGGGGGUUGAAAAUGGCUUUCUGCAGCACGCAGCCUUUGAUCUGAAGCGACAGGGUCGGGUUUUGUGACUGCCAGGCCACACGGCGGUCCUCCCGAAGUCUGCAGAAACUGAGCGGCCGAGACCCCCCGUGGUAGCUGUGGAUGUCAUCAGGCUCCAGGACUGCCCGGCCGCUGAUGGAAACGGUGAGCACGUCAUGAGCGGUUCUCCGUCCUAUUUUGCCGCUUGCCCUAAGAUGAGGGCUUGCAGCAGGUGCAACUGCGCGAACUCUCACACGGACGCGCACAUCCACGCACGGACGCGCACAUCCACGCACGUUCUCACUCCUGAGCGUCUUUCCCGGUUCCCUCGCUGGGCCCUCCGUGUGUCUUGCCAACACUCCCCAACCCCGACCAUGACGCACACCUGGUCCCCUGGGGGCCGGCGUCAGCCUUUGCCUUUUCCCUCUGGCGGGCUCUCCUGCCGGCCGCUUCCACGCCCACUUCGGUAAGCACCCCCUGAUCUCGCCCCCACCUCUCCUCCUGGACUCCAGGGCUGUCCACGCAGCCGGGCCCACCAGCAGGAGCCCAGAGCGCCGUCGGGCCACCUGGGAAGAAGCCCCCUUCCGCAAGUUGCCGUUGGAAGAUUAUCACGGCACCCUCCCCCUCCGUGGCACCUGCCGGAACCCGCUGUUGGAAGCGCCCCGUGCCCGUGAUGUGGGCGCGUCCACAAGAAGCGGCUUGAACAUAGAGACAGAGUCCUCCGGCCUUCACCUCCCGAACUGAACGCCUGAAGAAGACUGAGGUCCUGCCGACAUUUAUGGAAUACAUCCAUGAAACAGUGCAUGUUUCUUACAAGAUCAAACGUCCCUUGUUGACUGACCCUCGAUUUGUAAAGUAAUCUCAUGAAAAAAAGAGAACGUA